GUCUUCUGAUCCCCCAUCGGAUCACAUCACGAUCCUCCGCUUCUCUUCUCGUUGUUGGUAAACGAUCGACCAUCCCAUCAAUCAUUCCCUCCCUUUCUCGAUUUGUGGCCUGUCUAAUUAAUUCCUUCUAUGAUCGCCGCGCACCUGAUCAUGAUGAUGAUGAUGAUGAUGAUGAAUAAUGGUCUAUCUCUGAUUCGAUUUUGCCAUUACUUUCUUCUUGAUUCUCCUGCUUUCUGCUCACAAUGUUUUUUUAUUGUUAUUUAGAUGAUCGGGAUGAGUCCAACUGGAUAGUAUCCUGUUUGAAGCUUGUGAUUAGCACAGUACCGUUCGCCUUUAUGUUCUUUUAAGUAUAUUGGAUCACACCGCUUAGGAGAGUUGCUUGUUGGAAUUGGUAUGUUAAUGUUGGUAAGAGUAGGGUAGCAGGAUUGACGGACGAGGAGACCUGAGGAGGCGUCUGCAUCUAGGGCACAAUAUUGCUUAUUCUUUUAUUAUUUUGAAGUAAGAACUUUGUGUUUUAGAGAGGAGAAGUUGUUCUUUGUAUCAGAUGUGUUCAUUAAUCUUAGUAUAAAAUUAGUUGAAUCUAAGCAUGAGAAAUUGAUGAUUGUAUUACCAAUCAAUGGUGCUUUGCCUCUGAUGGUAAGCAAUGUUCACAGUACUCUUUGAUAAAGACCUCUUUGAUUUUUUGGUAUGGGAUGGAUUAGAAGCAUCCUUUCUGGUUUAGGCAUGAAGAAAAAUCGACUUUUCACUUAUGUUCCAUUAAUUACCUAUGAUAAUUUAUAUAUCUUUUAUCAGAGGAGAUGCUUCGGAGUUUUCUCUUAGUUCAUUGAAGUUCUUGUGAGAAGGUAACAGUAGACCUAAUCAACAAAUAUAUGACGACUUGUCAAUAGAUUUCUAUAAUGAACAACUAAAGUGAUUUUUUCAAGAAGUGGAUAAACAUGGGACAGAGUGAUUUGGUUCAGAUUGUAUGCUUUACUAGAUCAUUCUUUGAGACUUUUACAUCUUGUUAUCUCUGACUCUUACAUUCAUCAGGUUACUCGUCUUAUAUUAAUUGUUCCCGAAUCAUCAGUAGAGAUGCUUUCUGCUUGUUUUCUCCUGGUACUUCAUCCGUGGACAAUAAUUUUAAAAGUUUAUGACCACACUAAUCUACAUGGGCACAGAUACAAGAACGUUAUGGGCAUCCAAAUGACUAAUUUGGAAGGGAGAUUAAACGGAAAUACAGGGUAUGUGUGAGAAGAUUAAUUUAUUGAGAAAAAAAAUAUAUAACACUUGAAUUGUAAUGUUGUGAGAAUGUGAAAUGUUGACAUUUAUGUUCAUAAGAAGCCUUAGAAUGAUAAAAGAUCCAGUUUUUAUCUUAGCAUGUCGCAUUGAGUAUUGAAAUAGGAUAACUAGAGAGUUUGAGAAACAACUGACUCAUAGAUUAGCGGAUACAUGUCUGACAUGUCUUGUGAGUUUAAUCAAAAGAAUCCAUAUGUUAAUGGCCUAACAAUGUUGUCAUUCAAUACAGUCAGGUAUUUGUAUGUCUUUCAAUGUAAUCUCGAAAUACAAUCUUUUUCCAACUCUGAUUCAGAUUUUGUCUUGAUUAAUGUGUUUUACAGGAGUGACUCUCUGUACUAAUCUAGUUGAGACGAUCCUUUUAUGGUUAUACGAUGACGUAUUCUUCAUUUUUUAUUUCAUAUGCUAACAACGUUUUAGAAGUAUCGAUUGCAGGCAUAAUAUGAGCGCCAUCUGAAUUGCUAUGGCCUAAACAGUAAUGCUGCUGAUCAUGAAUGUUGAGGGUUGAUGUUUCGAGUCGAUCCGCUAUUGGUUCUCUGGUUCCUUUCCUUCCUGUGGUCUGUACUUAAUAGUUGCAGAAUGCUGUAUGGACUCAUCUGCUGGCAACUCGAGAGCUUCAUCAUCUUUACAGCCCGUGAGCUUCUCAGAACUGCCUUCGCUUCCUCCUCCUCCUCCGUCCUACCUGCUUUUGUAUUCCUUCGUGCACAAACAACCGGGAAGAGGGUUGGCAUAAAAGCACUCCUCGUGUCGUCGUGUUCGAUGGACCUUCCUCUCGUACGGGCCCCCGAGCCUGUCGGCGUGAUCCCUCUUCACCUGCUGCUGGAACUCCCCCCAGCUUAUUCCACCCGAAUCCAGCUGAUCCAUCAGCUUCACUAGCCUCUGCCUGAGAAGACAUUUGCAGGCUGAAGACAGCUGCUCGGUGGCGAAAUCAUGAUGGAGCAGAACGGCAUCGCGUACCUGUCCGGGUUGAUGGUCUUCCGAAACCCCCCCAACCUUCGAUGCCCCUGCACUGCUUUGGCCAUGUUGCCGUCGUAGGUGUACACGAACACGUCGCUCCUGAGGGCGACGAUGUGGUCGAGGGCGGCAAGUCUGUUCUGGUACAUCUGCAGCGGCGCCAAUUCCUCGGCGGAUGCCAAGCUACGGUGGGUGUGGAUGUUGGGGUACUCUGCUUUCAACGCGCCCAUGCUGUUGGCGCCGUAGAUUUCUCCGGCCACGAUGUAGAUGCUGGUGGCGAAAGGGUAGCCCAUUGCCUUGAGGAACAUGGCGGCUUCGCGCGGUGUCAUCGGACACCCUCCUUGGACGCGCUUCUCCCUGCUGUUGAUGUCCUUCUCCUUCCAGUGCCUCACGCUGUACCUCAUCACUCUCAGCUCUUCCGCCUCCGCCGCAGACAGGUUGUGGCUGCAGCCGGUAAACGACAGCAUGUCCUUCUCGUAUCUGCAACAUCGUCAUUCUAAGUUGUGUGUCCGAACGAAGACGAAGACUUCGUCGACGUCGACGUAAACGCUGUUUAGAGCUUGCCUUAGAUGGAGUGCGAUGUAGUGAUUGCUGCCAUUCCUCAACCUGUCAACAAGUCUCCGUCCUAUCCGUUCGAUGUCUCGUGUGUAUCGAAGUGCUUGGUAGGUGGCACGGCAGCGGAGUCUCUGAAUGGAAGGCGGGAGGCCAUUGUUCGCGAGGCGCGAGUCGGUGUGCGUGAACUCUAUCACCUUGCGCCUGCUCAAAAUAUUACCAAAGCUUCUGAAGUAGGAAACCUGCAACACGAGCAAGUGUCCUUCAGUGGAAGCAAGGAAGAAGAAGAAGAAGAAGAAUUCCCCUCCCGGGUAAAGCAAACUUGACCUUAGACCACGAGAUGGGAGCUCUCUGAAGCGGCUUGAUCUUGGCGUACUGUCGUGGGAGGGAGUCGACCACCACGAUGUCACCUUUGAGAGCUUCCUUGAAAUGCUUCACAUCAAAUAUGUCUUUGAAUUCACUGCAGAGCUCAGCAGGAAAGAAUCGCCUGAGACUGUGAUGCCAACAAAGAUACUCCUAAAACCAUUCGAGUACCUUGGAUCUGUCCAGAAUGAUUUGUGGUCUAAGAGGGGCACCACGAGCGUUGCGUUCAUUAGUUUUGCUAUGGCAACCAUGUCACUUAUCUGCAACUCGGAUUUUUUCUUCUUUUUUUA